ensembl:lncRNA
AUGCUGUGUCUGAAGAUUGUUAAAGUCGUGACCCAGACAGCCCUCCGCAUUCUCCUACCAGCGCUGGCUCGUAUCAUGGGGGUGAACCUGAGGAGUGGGGCAACCUCCCCAGAAUCCCAGUGCUCUCUGACAGGGUCUGAGGAUUCCUUAGGCAGUCUGGAUGAGAGAGAGAAAAGGCUGCUGAUCAGUGAGAUGAACUACUGGACUAAGGAGAGGAGGAGGAAUGGCAGUGCAGGAUGCCGCCAAAAAUCCACUCGCAGAACCUCAUCACCAUGCUGUUCGCCUAAGAGCGUUCCAAGAGAGGAAACAAAAAUGACUGCCAUUCAGUCCAGGACCAGACUGAGAUUCCCUCUACUGAUGGACAUUGCAUAGGUAAGGAUGUUUUAGAGCUCUGCUAUAGCUUGUAGUUUUGUUUAGGUGUGUGUUAGAAACAUAGGAAUGCCUACCAAACUCAUAGCACUGUUAUUUUUCAACGUUACUAUACUGCAUCUCUCUCUUUCUCUCUCUCUCUCUCUUACCCCAUCCAUUUCUCUUGUGUUUCUAGCUCCAGUUGGAGAGGUUUCUCCCUCCAUAUCUCAGCGUGUCAAAAAACGAUCCUUGAUUGUCAGGGUCUUUUCAGCAAUGAUGAAGCCAUUCAGGCGCUUCACCAAGAAGAACCUGUAACCUGUUACGCUGCAUGAAGAACUACUUAUUCACCAGUAUCUUUACCUGCACAUGACCAGCUGAUCAUUUAUCACUCCAGUGUUAAUCUGCUAAGUUGUAAUUAUUCGCCUACCUCCUCAUGCCUUUUGCACACAAUGUAGAUAGACUCUUUUUUUCUUUUUUUUCUACUGUGUUAUUGACUUGUUUAUUGUUUACUCCAUGUGUAACUCUGUGUUGUUGUCUGUUCACACUGCUAUGCUUUAUCUUGGCCAGGUCGCAGUUGUAAAUGAGAACUUGUUCUCAACUAGCCUACCUGGUUAAAUAAAGGUGAAAUAAAAAUAAAAAUCAGGCACUUUUUUUCAGAAAACCGAUGGCAGCGUCUAUCAUUGCUCUUCUACCAUCUAUCCCAUGUCUGCACCUCCCUCUUCCAUCAAAAACAAAUUACCUGGUUAAAGUUAGUUAGGCUAGGGGUUAGGGUUAAGGUUAGAGUUAAGUUUAGGAGUUAGGUUAAAGGGUUAAGGUUAGAGUUAGGGGAAGGGUUAGCUAUAAGGGUUAGGGGAAGGGUUAGCUAACAUGCUAAGUAGUUACAAAGUAGCUAAAAAGUGGUAAGGAGUUGAAAGUUUGCUAAUUAGCUAAAGUUGUCUGUGAUGAGAUUCAAAAUCAUAACCUUUGGAUCGUUAGACAUCCGUGUUAUACUGUAUGCCCACCCCUCCACCCUGACCAACCACCCUACUUUCGUUUUUGCCUUAAAUAACCAUUUGUCUUAUAUAACCAUACCAAACAUAACAUAUUAUACUAAUUUGAGUGUCCCGGAUUUACAUUUACUAUGUUAUGUCUAGUCUAUGAGAUCAGGCUGAUCACAGGCAUGAACAGAGUAACAGGUCAUUGUAGUUAUGAGUGUGAGUGUUAGAGAGGGAUUUGAGGAUUUCACUGUGGGUCAAUGCAGAGCUAAGCAUGAAGGAUUUUUGUGGCAUGACAUAAAACCAGAAACCACAGCACAGAGGAAACCUCUGAGGGUCAUAAUGGCUGGUCCCAUUAAACCUGGGGGAGGAGUUUGAGCAGACCUCAGAGGACAGGAGCUGACAUGGUGUUAAGGACAGUAGAUGAAUCACCGCACUUUUUUGCUCUUGUUCCCUGUGUGUGUGUGUGUGUGUGUGUGUGUGUGUGUGUGUGUGUGUGUGUGUGUGUGUGUGUGUGUGUGUGUGUGUGUGUGUGUGUGUGUGUGUGUGUGUGUGUGUGUGUGUCUUGACAGAGGUAGAACGUGAUGAAAUACAGAAUUGUGCGUUCGUUUGUUGUAGCUUUUUAUUGUUGUAUUAGAUCAUUUUCAUCCCUAACUUUUUAAGAAUGAGGCAAGAUGAAGUCAAAUUUCUCAAACAAGAAACAUGGUUGACUGUUUCCCUUCAGUCGAUUUCUCAUUCUCUUGUAAAAUAGCAAU